rnacentral:lncRNA from 1 species
AGUACAUUACCACAUACCCCAGGGCCUACUCUGAAACCCACCUGUAUAGAACUUCAUGAGGGACGGCACCAGCAGUUUGGUAGAGAGAGGAUGGUUCUCAAUCAUCUCAAAGAACUUCUGAGUUCUCGGCUGGACAGAAGGGUUGGUCAUGAACAUGACCUCCACCAGCUUGGCCACUAGGAUCAACAGUUCUGUGCUACUCUCAAGCAAAAUAUCUGUCUGCAACAUCUCAGAGGGCCGCCUGCCAGAGGAGACACACAGAGCCACAUCUCAGAGGGCCUCCUGCCAGAGGAGAGGCACAGAGGCCACAUCUCAGAGGGCCGCCUGCCAGAGGAGAGGCACAGAGGCCACAUCUCAGAGGGCCACCUGCCAGAGGAGACACACAGAGCCACAUCGUGCAAGUGGAUGUUGAGCUUCUUACAGACCCCUUAGUCACAACAAUGGAAUAUAAGGGAGGCUACAGAUCUGAAAGAAGAGCUCCGGUCAUUCUGCAUCCUGACGUUCGGGGCGACGAGGAUGAGAGGGCCAGGCCCACAUCACUCACAGAGCUCUGUCAGCCGCUCAUUCACAUCCUCCAUCGUUGCAUUUAUCCGUGUCUCAUCAUUCGGGAGAGUGAUCCGACAUCUUGGGUGGAAUAUGUAAGUGGGGUCAACUGUUUCUAACUUGAUUUUUGUACUUAGCUGCUGCAGGACCCAAAGGAGAUUCAGCAUAAACCCGUCUGUAGACACCAACCGAUCAUCUGCCUGUGACAUAAGACGUGAAGCAAUUGAAACAAUUGUUAGGCACACAUUUUGCAAAUCUAUGAAAGCACAUUCAAAUGUAACCAGGCCCUAAAGCCAGUGACAGGACACGUGGCUACCACUGUCAAUCAGCUAGCAGGUGCCAGCCCAGCAAGGUUCUACCUAUCCAUCACCACAGACUCACUGACCUCUGUAAUAACCCACAGUCCAUACACUAUAACUCACACUUCAGAGAAGAGUCAAUGAAUCGGUGUCAGUAAAACACAGCAACUGUAGCUUCCGUUUCCUUUCUUAUUUCUCAAGAGCAAUGAGCUGUCCUUAGCCCACAUGACAGCUUUCCCAUCUUACACAGUGAGUACAGCCCUGGCUGAAUGACAGAGGUUCAGGGAUCACGACACACUCAGAACGAUUCUAAUGGUCUACAUGUAAAAGGCUCACAAAUUAGUGGUCACUCUUAAACCCACUUAGCAAAUGAAGAAACUGAGGCACAGAGAAGUAACUAUCAGAUGUGGCCAACUUACCGACUACAUGUGGCAAAAGCCAGCUGUAAAUGUGGCCCAAUGUAAAACUAUAGACUUACACAGAACAUGAUGGAUUUUUGCACAUGACCUCUUUGACUGUGUAUUCUUGGCUGUUGAGUUAUGGGUGACACUACCAUGUGACAAUGUCAACAGAUGACAUACCAGAAUACUAAUGAGUGUCCAAAGACACUGGGAUUUUGCAAUUCUCCAUACUUUUAUUCUUUUGCUUCCAAGAUCUUACUAAAAACAGUCUACAGUUUUAACUUUCCCACUGUUACCAUGCACACUAGAGUCCUCAAGACUUCUUGGUGCUUCUUCAGGUCUGCUUCCAACCCCACACCUUGUCAUUUUGUGGCUGACACAUGUUUCCUUCUGUGGAUUCUACUAGAGUUCUCAUCAGUAAAAUAGACUCAAGAGCAUGUUACCUGCCCAUGUCCCCCGAGUCAAAGGAACUGUGUGUGCCGGGCUUGCAAUAAAGCUGGCUCAUUUCUAACCUAACACACGAUCACCAGGAGGGCUCUUUUCUCAGCCUUGUAAGGAGCCGCUCUUCAGUUGAAGCUUUAAUACGAGGCUGUUCUGCUGCCUGAUCAACAGCCACCCCUGUGCUGCCGUUCCGGCAUUUUACAAGUACGCCUGAAUCCUUCACACUUCCAUCAGCGACUACUACUGCCUGGAUGCUGUGCUUGCAUGGCCACCCCCUGCCUGAGACCUCGGGCUGCACAGAAGCAGGAUGCUUGCCCGUCUUGUUCUGUACUGCCUUCCCAACCCCCAGAACGCAGCCUGGGAGGCGCAAAGUCACAUCUGCACUGGAGAAACAGGUUUAAUGAGUAACUGAAAGCACUUGGGGACUCCUACCUGCAUCUGGGCUUUCUUCAUGUUGGCAUUGACAAGGGCCGCCAUGUAGCUGAGAGCCGCUUCACGAGUUUCGCCAUUUAACAAAAUACUAUGUAGAAUCUUGAAAAGUUCUUGCUAAAUUAUUUUCAAAAUGAAAAAACUAUAUGCCUCCUGAGUGCUCGGCAGCACCUGUGAAGGCAGAAGAGGGAAAUCCUCUGGAGCCGGAGUUCCAGGCUGUCCUGCAAACCACACUCGAGCCAUGCGGAAGAGCAUCAGACACUCCUGACUGCUAAGCUGUCUUCCCAGCCCCAAUCCUAUGUUGCGUCUCCAUUUAUUAUUACUGUGUGUGUGUGUCCGGGGAAAGGGGGAGUUGAGUAUGUAUGUGGGAUCUCUCUCUCAUCUUGACGUGGGUUCCAGUUGUCAGGCCUGAACAGCAAGCAUCUAGUAACUCAAGAGCAAGCUAUCUCAUGAUGCUUGAUGUUCAAAUCCCAAGUAUGGCUUGCUUGUUGUUCUGUAAACCAGCAAGAUGCCUCUGACAGUCAUCCUUUGUGCUGGCUCCCCAGAAUAGCAAGGCACAUUCCCACAGUGCCUCACUCGCUGCUGUCUAGGACUGGCAGUGGCGGGGCAUGGAAAGCUGCCAAUACACUAGGGUGGCUCAGGACACAGUCACACAAGUGUCUGGCCUAUAGCAGGGUCUCAGGUUUUACAUCUGAAGGUGAGAGUGAUCUACACUUGUAAUCUCAGCACUCGAGAGGAGGGCGCAGGGCCAUGAGCUAACGCAGACAUGAGACUGUGUCUCAAGAAAGGA